rnacentral:rRNA from 1 species
UCAGGAUGAACGCUAGCUACAGGCUUAACACAUGCAAGUCGAGGGGCAGCGGGAUUGAAGCUUGCUUCAAUUGCCGGCGACCGGCGCACGGGUGAGUAACGCGUAUCCAACCUUCCGUACACUCAGGGAUAGCCUUUCGAAAGAAAGAUUAAUACCUGAUAGUAUCUUAAGCACACAUGUAAUUAAGAUUAAAGAUUUAUCGGUGUACGAUGGGGAUGCGUUCCAUUAGGUAGUAGGCGGGGUAACGGCCCACCUAGCCGACGAUGGAUAGGGGUUCUGAGAGGAAGGUCCCCCACAUUGGAACUGAGACACGGUCCAAACUCCUACGGGAGGCAGCAGUGAGGAAUAUUGGUCAAUGGACGAGAGUCUGAACCAGCCAAGUAGCGUGAAGGAUGAAGGUCCUACCGAUUGUAAACUUCUUUUAUAAGGGAAUAAACCCUUCCACGUGUGGGAGCUUGUAUGUACCUUAUGAAUAAGCAUCGGCUAACUCCGUGCCAGCAGCCGCGGUAAUACGGAGGAUGCGAGCGUUAUCCGGAUUUAUUGGGUUUAAAGGGAGCGCAGACGGGUCGUUAAGUCAGCUGUGAAAGUUUGGGGCUCAACCUUAAAAUUGCAGCUGAUACUGGCGUCCUUGAGUGCGGUU